rnacentral:rRNA from 1 species
GACGAACGCUGGCGGCGUGCUUAACACAUGCAAGUCGAGCGGAGCGGCGAACGGGUGAGUAACGCGUGAGUAAUUGACCCCCUCCCUGGGGUAACAGAUGGAAACGGCUGCUAAUACCGGAUAGUGGGGGAUGACUCGCGUCCAAUCAGCUUGUUGGUGGGGUAGGGGCCUACCAAGGCGACGACGGAUAGCCGGCCUGAGAGGGCGACCAGGCACAUGGGGAUGAGAUACGGCGCAGUCGCCUACGGGGUGCAGCGGGGGGGAAUAUUGCGCAAUGGUGGAAAGCCUGAUGCAGAAGCGCCGGGUGCGGGAUGACGGCCUUCGGGUUGUAAACCGCUUUCGGCCAUGACGCGGUAGUGGCAGAAGAAGCACCGGCUAACUACGUGCCAGCAGCCGCGGUAAUAC